rnacentral:rRNA from 1 species
AUUGAACGCUGGCGGCAGGCCUAACACAUGCAAGUCGAGCGCGAAAACACUUCGGUGUGAGUAGAGCGGCGGACGGGUGAGUAAUGCUUGGGAAUCUGCCCAGUAGUGGGGGAUAACGUGUGGAAACGCACGCUAAUACCGCAUACGUCCUACGGGAGAAAGCAGGGGAUCUUCGGACCUUGCGCUAUUGGAUGAGCCCAAGUCAGAUUAGCUAGUUGGUGAGGUAAUGGCUCACCAAGGCGACGAUCUGUAGCUGGUCUGAGAGGAUGAUCAGCCACACUGGGACUGAGACACGGCCCAGACUCCUACGGGAGGCAGCAGUGGGGAAUAUUGCACAAUGUGCGAAAGCCUGAUGCAGCCAUGCCGCGUGUGUGAANAAGGCUCUAGGGUUG